UGCCAGCAGCCGCGGUAAUGCGAAGGGGGCUAGCGUUGUUCGGAAUUACUGGGCGUAAAGCGCACGUAGGCGGGUUAUUAAGUCAGGGGUGAAAUCCCGGAGCUCAACUCCGGAACUGCCUUUGAUACUGGUAAUCUAGAGAUCGGAAGAGGUUAGUGGAAUUCCCAGUGUAGAGGUGAAAUUCGUAGAUAUUGGGAAGAACACCAGUGGCGAAGGCGGCUAACUGGUCCGAUACUGACGCUGAGGUGCGAAAGCGUGGGGAGCAAACAGGAUUAGAUA
rnacentral:rRNA from 1 species